GCACUGGUGGUUCAAUGGUAGAACUCUCACCUUCCGAGAGGGAGACUUGAGUUUGAUUCCCGGCCAAUGUA
rnacentral:tRNA from 1 species